CUACAGGAACAAUCCAUCAGGUUCCUUAAAAUUAUUCUAUCAGGAUUAUUAUGGACUUCGAACCUCAGUUGCAAAAAUGUGGCGGCAUGCUCGCAGUCUCAUGUUUAUUUCGAAAUAAUGUAUUUUAAAACAUGUAAAGUGUGAGAUCCUGUUCCCAAAGUGUAAUAGAAAAUAAUCCGUACAAGGUUGUAAAGAAGUUGAUUCAGUUUUGCUGAUUUAGUGUUUUGUAUUUUUCGUUUGUUUUGAUUUUGAUGUGAAUGAGUUAUCGUAAGAGUGAAUCGGGUGUGAGUUAUUUUUAGUUGCUAGUAUAAAAGAGACCGGUUUGGCUGGUUAUAAGUUAGAUAGGGCAUGGUAACGACAUCAGCCGGGUGCCACGUUGACAGGUCCUAGAAGUUCAAGGGAUUGUUAUUUUCCUGUCAGAUUUCUAUGUAGGACAUUUGGAGAAAUAUAACUGCUGAAAUAGGAGUUUGUUUGGGGGGGCACAUCUUUUGUAUUCUGAUAGUUCUGCGUAGAUGGGUGCUUAACAAAACCAGUUUCAACCCGAAGUCAGACAGAGUUGCGGGAUUCAGAUAUACGCAGAUACAUGCGGAUAUUGUGUUACAAUAUGGAAGGGCGUGGUGUAGCUCCAUAGAGGAUAACCCGAUACUUGGGAGGCAUCGGAACCCUGGUGUAUUGUCAAGGGUUGACGAUGGCUCGUGCAAGGCUUGUAUGGUGGUGGAUAUUUUUCCGUUCUGGGCGUGCUUAUCUCAAGUUCGCGGGAAACCGGAACAGUGUCUUCAGAGUGCAUAUUAGUUACAUUAUAAAGUUAAAGUAACUCGAAAUUUAGAAACAAAACCAAAGAAUAUUAUAUUACAGAAAAGGAGAAUUGAAUAUUUGGAACUUUUUUCUAAAUUAUACUACUUUUGAGUAUUGUUUUAACUUGACAAGUUAAUACCUGUACAUUUGCUUUACAUCUGAUACGUACUAUCGGACUUUCAAAAAAACUGUUUACAACGUAUCAGAUAUCUAUAUUGUCAAUUGCUUAUUCAUGUAAAUUGGUGUUCAGAGUGAAAGGAGUGAGUGUGCAUUCUUUUUAUAUUUAUUUAUUUAAUUAAUAAAUUUGUUAUUGUUUAUUCUACAA